UACGAAGGGGGCUAGCGUUGUUCGGAUUUACUGGGCGUAAAGCGCACGUAGGCGGAUUGGUCAGUUAGGGGUGAAAUCCCGGAGCUCAACUCCGGAACUGCCUUUAAUACUGCCAGUCUCGAGUCCGGAAGAGGUAAGUGGAACUCCUAGUGUAGAGGUGGAAUUCGUAGAUAUUAGGAAGAACACCAGUGGCGAAGGCGGCUUACUGGUC
rnacentral:rRNA from 1 species